CCUACGGGAUGCAGCAGUGGGGAAUAUUGCACAAUGGGGGAAACCCUGAUGCAGCGACGCCGCGUGAGUGAAGAAGGAUUUCGGUAUGUAAAGCUCUAUCAGCAGGGAAGAAGAUAGACGGUACUUGACUAAGAAGCCCCUGCUAACUACGUGCCAGCAGCCGCGGUAAUACGUAGGGGGCAAGGGUUAUCCGGAUUUACUGGGGUUAAAGGGAGCGUAGACGGCUUGACAAGUCUGAAGUGAAAGCCUGGGGCUCAAACCUGGGCUUGCUUUGGAAACUGUGGAGCUAGAGUGCUGGAGAGGUAAGUGGAAUUCGUAGUGUAGCGGUGAAAUGCGUAGAUAUUAGGAGGAACACCAGUGGCGAAGGCGGCUUACUGGACAGUAACUGACGUUGAGGCUCGAAAGCGUGGGGAGCAAACAGGAUUAGAUACCCUAGUAGUC
rnacentral:rRNA from 1 species